UCCCUUUCGCGCUCCUCAGCCUCACGGAAC
rnacentral:sRNA from 1 species